rnacentral:tmRNA from 1 species
GGGGUUGACUGGAUUUGACGGGGAGUUUACAGGGAAUGUAAGCAUGUCGGGCCAUGGGGUUUGUCCCGCACAACCACACUCCAAAACAAUAACUGGCGAAGAAAACUUUGCUCUUGCUGCCUAAUCGAAGUAUAGUAGAUUGGCUUUACGCUAUUCAAGGAAUAGCGGCGAGACAUCGCACAGAAGGCACGUCCUUAGUCGUCUGAGUCUGCGGUGCUGUAAAUAAGGAAUAGGAACGACAAUUCUUGUGAGUUGUUCCGAGAUUUUUCAAGAUACGGUGUCAAUAGGGUGUCCGUCCUCAGUUGCCACCCGACAAUCAAAGGCGGAAUAAGCAUGUAGAAAGCAUUUUCGGUACUUGUCCGGACCGGAGUUCGAAUCUCCGCAGCUCCACAA